rnacentral:rRNA from 1 species
ACUCCUACGGGAGGCAGCAGUGGGGAAGUAUUGCACAAUGGGCGGCAAAGCCUGAUGCAGCCAUGCCGCGUGUGUGAAAAGGCCUCGGGUUGUAAGNACUUUUCAGUCGUGAGGGAAGGGUAGUGUUAGUUACUAGCUNCNUUAUUUGACGUUAGCGACAGAAGAAGCACCGGCUAACUCCGUGCCAGCAGCCGCGGUAAUACGGAGGGUGCGAGCGUUAANCGGAAUUACUGGGCGUAAAAGCGCAUGCAGGNGGUUUGUUAAGUCAGAUGUGAAAGCCCGGGGCUCAACCUCGAAUUCAUUGAAACUGGCAGACUAGANUCUGUAGAGGGGGGUGAGAAUUGUCAGGUGUAGCGGUGAAAUGCGUAGAGAUCUGAAGGAAUACCGGUGGCGAAGGCGGCCCCCUGGCACAGAUACUGACACUCAGAUGC